rnacentral:rRNA from 1 species
CCCUUAGAUGUUCUGGGCCGCACGCGCGCUACACUGACGAAUGCAACGAGCUUAUAACCUUGGCCGAAAGGUCUGGGUAAUCUCCAAAUUUCGUCGUGAUGGGGAUAGAUUAUUGCAAUUAUUAAUCUUCAACGAGGAGUGCCUAGUAAGCGCAAGUCAUCAGCUUGCGUUGAUUACGUCCCUGCCCUUUGUACACACCGCCCGUCGCUCCUACCGAUUGAAUGGUCCGGUGAAGCGUUCGGACCGUGGCCUUUGGACGGUUCGCCGUCUGUUGGCUGCGGGAAGUUCGUUAAACCUUAUCAUUUAGAGGAAGGAGAANUCGUAACA